ACUUCUCUGCUCAUCACAAAGCAGAAGGAAGACAGCUCUCCUACCUGCAAAUAAAUUUGCAUAUGAUAGUCUCCUGCCACCUAAGGACACCCAGUUCCUGAAUCCCAGGGGAGAGACUCUACUUGGGUCAGUUGUCCAGCUAACUGCUAUGAGAUGUUUGGUUGGAAAUAGUGGUGAAAACUGCAUAGUGAAACAGGUGUGAUUGGCAGCUCUAACCCAUUUUCUAAAAGACUACCACCCCAUUCUACUCUCUUCAGAAAGAGUUUUCUAUCAAGAUCGAACCCAGUGACUUUGCUCAGGACAUACUGAUUUUCUUUUUUCAUAGAAUUACAGAGAGAGCUAAAAUGGAACAGUGUAACCAGGAUAAGUUCUGAAUCCAGCUCCAGUUUUAUUCAGGUAACUACUCCUUUCCAGAGGUGAUGACUCAGGGGACAUGUGGCUGGUCACAUAAAAAAGGUGGUCUGUCUCUGUCCCUGGACACUUGAUGUUAGAUGUCUGAAUUUCACAUCCAGAGCUCUUGGAACCAUUUUACAACCAUGUAGGGAUCUAGUCUGGGCCAAUUCAAGAGAAGAUGACUUAACAGAGUGAGGAAAAGAUCUUAGGUUCUUGGUGCCACCACCGGCUAUUGAAUCAACCAGUCUGGAAACCUGCCAGACUCUCAACUGGCUCUUAUUUGAUGUAAAAAUUACAUAAAAUAAAUACAAAUAAAAUUUGGAAG